rnacentral:rRNA from 1 species
UGGGGAAUAUUGCACAAUGGGCGCAAGCCUGAUGCAGCCAUGCCGCGUGUAUGAAGAAGGCCUUCGGGUUGUAAAGUACUUUCAGCGGGGAGGAAGGUGUUGAGGCUAAUAACCUCAGCAAUUGACGUUACCCGCAGAAGAAGCACCGGCUAACUCCGUGCCAGCAGCCGCGGUAAUACGGAGGGUGCAAGCGUUAAUCGGAAUUACUGGGCGUAAAGCGCACGCAGGCGGUCUGUCAAGUCGGAUGUGAAAUCCCCGGGCUCAACCUGGGAACUGCAUUCGAAACUGGCAGGCUAGAGUCUUGUAGAGGGGGGUAGAAUUCCAGGUGUAGCGGUGAAAUGCGUAGAGAUCUGGAGGAAUACCGGUGGCGAAGGCGACCACCUGGACUAAUACUGACACUGAGGUGCGAAAGCGUGGGGAGCAAACA